UUAUCCCAAAAGCGGAGGAAAAGAAACUAACAAGGAUUCCCCUAGUAACGGCGAGUGAAGCGGGAAGAGCUCAAAUUUGAAAUCUGGUGGCCUCAGGUCAUCCGAGUUGUAAUCUAUAGAAGUGUUUUCCGUGCUGGCUCAUGUACAAGUCCCUUGGAACAGGGCGUCAUAGAGGGUGAGAAUCCCGUCCUUGACAUGAACUACCAGUGCUCUGUGAUACAUUUUCAACGAGUCGAGUUGUUUGGGAAUGCAGCUCAAAAUGGGUGGUAAAUUCCAUCUAAAGCUAAAUAUUGGCGAGAGACCGAUAGCGAACAAGUACCGUGAGGGAAAGAUGAAAAGCACUUUGGAAAGAGAGUUAAACAGUAUGUGAAAUUGUUGAAAGGGAAACGAUUGAAGUCAGUCGUGCUCUUUGGAUUCAGCCGGUUCUGCCGGUGUACUUCCUUUGAGUGGGGUCAACAUCAGUUUUGAUCGCUGGAUAAAGGCUGGAGGAACGUAGUACCCUCGGGUAAACUUAUAGCCUCCUGUCACAUACAGUGGUUGGGACUGAGGAACGCAGCACGCCUUUAUGGCCGGGAUUCGUCCACGUACGUGCUUAGGAUGUUGACAUAAGUGGCUUUAAACGACCCGUCUUGAAACCACGGACCA
rnacentral:rRNA from 1 species